UAAAAAAUAACCCUGCAGUAAACUUCUGCAGGGCUCCUUCAAACUCUUCGUGAGUGAAGGCAAAGGGAGAGGAGAAACCGGAGGAAGAACUUAUGGGGAAACGUAAGUCUUCUCCGCGG
rfam:Bacillus thermoamylovorans genome assembly, strain 1A1, contig: A1A_CC45